AGAGUUUGAUCMUGGCUCAGAAUGAACGCUGGCGGCGUGCUUAACACAUGCAAGUCGAACGAGAACUCUUCAGCUUGCUGAAGAAAGUAAAGUGGCGAACGGGUGAGUAACGCGUGGGUAAUCUACCUUCGAAUCGGGGAUAACUCGCCGAAAGGUGAGCUAAUACCGGAUAACAUUAUUAAUCGCAAGACUAAUAAUCAAAGGUGGCCUCUACAUGUAAGCUGUUGUUUGGAGAUGAGCCCGCGUACCAUUAGCUAGUUGGUAGGGUAAAGGCCUACCAAGGCGACGAUGGUUAGCUGGUCUGAGAGGAUGAUCAGCCACACUGGAACUGACACACGGUCCAGACUCCUACGGGAGGCAGCAGUGAGGAAUUUUGCGCAAUGGGGGGAACCCUGACGCAGCAACGCCGCGUGAGUGAUGAAGGCCUUCGGGUCGUAAAGCUCUGUCAAAUGGGAAGAACAUACAAAGCAUUAAUAAAGUUUUGUACUGACGGUACCAUUAGAGGAAGCACCGGCUAACUCCGUGCCAGCAGCCGCGGUAAUA
rnacentral:rRNA from 1 species